GACAGAGGGUGCAAACGUUGUUCGGAAUUACUGGGCGUAAAGCGCGUGUAGGCGGUCGGGCAAGUCGGAUGUGAAAGCCCAGGGCUCAACCCUGGAAGUGCACUCGAUACUGCUCGGCUAGAGUCCCGGAGAGGAUGGUGGAACUCUCGGUGUAGAGGUGAAAUUCGUAGAUAUCGAGAAGAACAUCGGUGGCGAAGGCGGCCAUCUGGACGGUGACUGACGCUGAGACGCGAAAGCGUGGGGAGCAAACAGG
rnacentral:rRNA from 1 species